rnacentral:rRNA from 1 species
CCUACGGGAGGCAGCAGUGGGGAAUAUUGGACAAUGGGGGCAACCCUGAUCCAGCAAUGCCGCGUGUGUGAAGAAGGCCUUAGGGUUGUAAAGCACUUUCAGUCGUGACGAUGAUGACGGUAACGACAGAAGAAGCCCCGGCUAACUCCGUGCCAGCAGCCGCGGUAAUACGGAGGGGGCAAGCGUUGUUCGGAAUUACUGGGCGUAAAGGGCGCGUAGGCGGCCAAGUCAGUCAGGCGUGAAAGCCCAGGGCUCAACCCUGGAAUUGCGUUUGAUACUGCCUGGCUAGAGACCGGAAGAGGGUAGUGGAAUUCCCAGUGUAGAGGUGAAAUUCGUAGAUAUUGGGAAGAACACCAGUGGCGAAGGCGGCUACCUGGUCCGGAUCUGACGCUGAGGCGCGAAAGCGUGGGGAGCAAACAGGAUUAGAUACCCUGGUAG